rnacentral:rRNA from 1 species
UACAUGGGGUGCAAACGUUGCUCGGAAUCACUGGGCGUAAAGCGCACGUAGGCGGAUUGCUAAGUCAGGGGUGAAAUCCUGGAGCUUAACUCCGAAACUGCAUUCGAUACUGCCGUGCUUGAGGACUGGAGAGGAGACUGGAAUUUACGGUGUAGCGGUGAAAUGCGUAGAUAUCGUAAGGAAGACCAGUGGCGAAGGCGGGUCUCUGGACAGUUCCUGACGCUGAGGCACGAAGGUCAGGGGAGCAAACGGG